rnacentral:rRNA from 2 species
UGGGGAAUAUUGGACAAUGGGGGGAACCCUGAUCCAGCCAUGCCGCGUGUGUGAAGAAGGUCUUAGGAUUGUAAAGCACUUUAAGUUGGGAGGAAGAGCAGUUAACUAAUAUUUGACUGUUUUGACGUUACCGACAGAAUAAGCACCGGCUAACUUCGUGCCAGCAGCCGCGGUAAUACGAAGGGUGCAAGCGUUAAUCGGAAUUACUGGGCGUAAAGCGCGCGUAGGUGGUUCAGUAAGUUAGGAGUGAAAGCCCCGGGCUUAACCUGGGAAUUGCUUCUAAAACUGCUGAGCUAGAGUACGGUAGAGGGUGGUGGAAUUUCCUGUGUAGCGGUGAAAUGCGUAGAUAUAGGAAGGAACAUCAGUGGCGAAGGCGACCACCUGGACUGAUACUGACACUGAGGUGCGAAAGCGUGGGGAGCAAACAGG